UACGUAGGGAGCAAGCGUUGUCCGGAAUCAUUGGGCGUAAAGCGCGCGUAGGUGGCCUCAUAAGUCCGCUGUGAAAGUCAAAGGCUCAACCUUUGAAAGCCGGUGGAUACUGUGGGGCUAGAGUACGGAAGAGGCGAGUGGAAUUCCUGGUGUAGCGGUGGAAUGCGCAGAUAUCAGGAGGAACACCAAUAGCGAAGGCAGCUCGCUGGGACGUUACUGACACUGAGGCGCGAAAAGCGUGGGGGAGCGAACAGG
rnacentral:rRNA from 1 species